rnacentral:rRNA from 1 species
UACGAAGGGAGCUAGCGUUGUUCGGAAUUACUGGGCGUAAAGGGCGCGUAGGCGGACAUCUAAGUCAGGGGUGAAAUCCCAGGGCUCAACCCUGGAAUUGCCUUUGAUACUGGACGUCUCGAGUUCGGGAGAGGUGAGUGGAAUUCCGAGUGUAGAGGUGAAGUUCGUAGAUAUUCGGAGGAACACCAGAAGCGAAGGCGGCUCACUGGCCCGAUACUGACGCUGAGGCGCGAAAGCCAGGGGAGCAAACGGG